UACGUAGGGUGCGAGCGUUAAUCGGAAUUACUGGGCGUAAAGUGUGCGCAGGCGGCUUCGCAAGUCGAGUGUGAAAUCCCCGAGCUUAACUUGGGAAUUGCGCUCGAAACUACGGAGCUGGAGUGUGUCAGAGGAAGGUGGAAUUCCACGUGUAGCGGUGAAAUGCGUAGAGAUGUGGAGGAACACCGAUGGCGAAGGCAGCCUUCUGGGCCAACACUGACGCUCAUGCACGAAAGCGUGGGGAGCAAACAGG
rnacentral:rRNA from 1 species